rnacentral:rRNA from 1 species
UGGUCUUCAUUGCUUUGGGGUCGAUGGAGUAAAGGUGGCCUCUUCAUGAAAGCUACCGUGUAGGGAUGAGGCCUGCGUACCAUUAGCUAGGUAGGUGGGGUAAUGGCCCACCUAGGCUACGAUGGUUAGCGGGUCUGAGAGGAUGAUCCGCCACACUGGAACUGAAACACGGACCAG